GACGAACGCUGGCGGCGCGCCUAACACAUGCAAGUCGAACGGGGUCUUUUGAGAAGCUUGCUUUUUGGAUGACCUAGUGGCGGACGGGUGAGUAACACGUGAGCAACCUGCCGGGGAGUGGGGGAUACCGUCUGGAAACGGACGCUAAUACCGCAUAACAUACCGAAGUGGCAUCGUUUUGGUAUCAAAGGAGAAAUCCGCUUAAGGAUGGGCUCGCGCCCGAUUAGAUAGUUGGCGGGGUAACGGCCCACCAAGUCGACGAUCGGUAGCCGGACUGAGAGGUUGAUCGGCCACAUUGGGACUGAGACACGGCCCAGACUCCUACGGGAGGCAGCAGUGGGGAAUAUUGCACAAUGGGGGAAACCCUGAUGCAGCGACGCCGCGUGGGUGAGGACGGCCUUCGGGUUGUAAAGCCCUGUUGUGGGGGACGAAUAAUGACGGUACCCCACCAGAAAGCCACGGCUAACUACGUGCCAGCCGCCGCGGUAACAC
rnacentral:rRNA from 1 species